AAAUGCUUGGUCUUUGUAAUAAUUGCAUUACCUCCCCAUGUUAUUGCCACAUGACAGGGUUUAUGAGAGUAUUAUCAAAUGGCUAUUACAUGCCUACUUGAGAGUUUUCUGUAUGGUCCCUCCGGCCUCUUCUUCCAAGUUUAUUUUCGGGAUGUGAAAGGUUUCCAAAACUGCCAAAUUUAAAAGAGCCAGAAAGUCACUGCCAUCUGUUGCGCAUGCAGGAGCCAAUUCAGACUCAUCCACAUCUAGGUUCUCGAUGGUAUUAGGUAGCAAUAAAUCCCACUCCAUACAGUACAAGCUCUCCUCCUCGCAGGGCAUUUGCUUGCACCUCUGGUAAGAACACCAAAACUCACCCGAACUAAGUUCUUGGCCUGGUCUCGGCCGCGACGAUGGCUUGCACGUAUCUUCUCUAGCUCCCCUCUCAUUCAUUACUUGUAAUUCCUUGUCUGUAUACUCUGGCUAAAACCUGUAGGCAAUGCCGUCAAAAUAAUUGCCAUCUUCUGGCAUGCAAUCUUCAUAGUGUUUCAUCGAUCCUCAAACCAAAAUGCAGACAAGUUGUACUAGCUGCUGGUUGACAGAUGCAAAUAGACUAUAGCUAACGUGAGCUACAGUUUUGUAAACAGAGCCAGUUAUCUGAUAAAGCCUCCUUGCAGACUGAUUCAUCUGUGCGGCCGUAGCUAAUACAUUUGCCAGAAAGAAUAAACAGUGAUAACUACUGAUACAAUGCUCAUUUUGGCACAUUUUUUUUCAGGAGAACGUACAGAAACCUAUAUCAAUACACCGUGGCCUGCCUGUUAUGGAAAACCGAAUGUAUCAUACAUCUUCGAACGCUUGGUUGCAGCAUUCACUUCCAUUUUAGCCCAGAGAGAGACUGCAGGAAAAAUCGAAAAAAACUAAAAUAAUUUACAAAAAUAAUUCUCUAUAAACUAGUAUCAUGCUAGAUAAUCUGUAAACAGGCCCCAGGUAAAAAAAAAUAGCGAUCCUUUAAAUUACUGCCUUUGAAAAACAUUCAUUUUAUCUAAUCAGCUGAUUGAUAAAUACACACACACACACACACACACACACACACACACACAUAUUUAUAUAUAUAUAUAUAUAUAUAUAUAUAUAUAUAUAUAUAUAUAUAUAUAUAUAUAUAUAUAUAUAUAAAGGAGUGGUUGAUGGAAACAAUUACAAUAUACUGUAAUUUCUCUAAAGCUGAUAAAAUGUUCGCCACCAUCUCAUUUUUAAGAUUAUGCUUCAAUAUCACAACCUUCAAACGCAUAAAUCUUACAAGUUUUAGUGUCUCCGGUAGAAAGGAUGUAAAAUGUUUCUGUAUUAUUGUCUUAAAUCUAUUUCAUUGUGUUUACACUGUGUUACAGUUUUUGUGAAAAUAUUCUUACUGUUGUUGAUGCUGUUGUUUAACUCUUAGGGCAUGAUUUCAUCCGUGGUGUGGAAGAUGUGAGUUAUGGCCAGGAAACUUGAAGUGUACAGGACAUUUCUGAUUGAGACAAAAAUAUGCAGUGUUAAUGGUCAAUCCAAUUUUGCAUAGAGUUAAACAGCCGAUCCUCUGCGCUGCUGAUUGAACAGAAUCUUAAUUUUCCCCCUUGGGUUGAAAAUGGUAGUUUCACUCCCAAAUGCUCCCUCUCUCCUGACACGUGCCUUUGAAGGGUGCUUGGGAGGUGCAAAUACUUCCUCUGUAAAUACAAUCAAAUUCAACAGUCCCUGUACUAUGGAGAGGAGGUGGUUGGACUCGGGCACCAAAGUCUGUUCAGUGCUGUUUCACUCUCCUAUUUCUGUCUGAUGAUCUAAGCCUUGUACACCACAGAUGCACCAUGCCACUAACAUUCCAGUAGUGUAGAAAUAGGCACAUGCAAGUCUACAGCAGUGAGGUUCAUUGUGCCAUUUUAAAGUUUGUACCUCUAGAAAGACCGAACAGCAGGGAGCUCAAGCUUCAGCUCAAGCCAAUGAUCGCACAGGUAUUAAAAUAUCCUGGUAUUCUGUUCUAACAAUAUAACUGUCUCAUGUCAUGUUGCCCUAGGGGCUUCAUACUCUCCCUAUAUUUUGACAUUUAGUUCCAAUUUAAGGCAUGUUUAUUUUCUGAUUAUGUAUCCUUCUCCAAGAGUCACAACUGUCCUUUCAGACGGUGGUCACUCUGCAGUCGAAUCUCACAAUGGAAACAAUAGUAUUUUCAGUUGGGACAACGUUCCACUAUGGCCUCCAGUUGUCACUGUUACUCAGCAAGGCUUCGAAGUGUAAUUUCAUACUUUUGUAGGUCAAAAUGUUACACUUCACUUCACCAUCACUGCAUGAGAGGAAUACUCAAAGAGAUAGUCAUGUCCAAAUGGACAAGAAAUUAUUAUGUGUAGGAUUGGUAUGCUAUAGGGGACUGGACAUAGCCCUGUGUUAGCCAAAGGUGUACAAACUCUUCGCAUUCAUUUCAAAAACAGUAAGAAAGGAUUAGUACAAUUUAAGAAAGGAGGAUGUGGUCAGGGUCAGAGUGAGGUGCAUCAUGGGUUCUCAGGGCAUGACAGUGCUGAAAGAAACUACAACCAAAGGGCGUUGGAGAUGGGGUUUUGGGUGAGGAUCUGGAUCUGGUGAGGAACAGAGCUUUUUGGGGGUUUUUUACUGAAGGAGAAAGCUGAAACAAUGACAUUAUGUUGUUGUUAUUUCAUUGUUGGGGAUGUAGGAAGAGUAUGCACCAAAACAAACACUGUUUAGUUGUGUUCUCCACUGGGCCUCCAUAGGUUCCAUUGUCACAUAAUGAGCACAUGCUUGCCAGACAUUAGCCACAGUUAUCAAAAAGAAAACUCAUCCGCAUCUUACUUUAGUAUUAGUAGAUACUUCAUCAUAGUGUCAGCGGAUUAAUAUAUUUAUUGUAUUUUUCAUAUUUUGGCGUUAUGGAAACAAUCAGUAAUGUUAGAAUUGUACCAAGAAAUAUGCUAAUGCUUUGCUAGGAAAUGAAGACUACAGGCCAUUGUGUCAUUAUUUUUCUUUAGAUUUCUACACACUUUACGAAAUAUUAACAAGUUGAGUUGGGAGGCGUCCUUUAUUAUUAAUUUAUUCUAGAUUUCACAUUACCGUUAUAAGCUAUGCUAAGCUAUAUGACUAUAAUUUUAUAAAUACCAAGUUUAUUAGUGAAGGCCAAAUCUGUUUUAUCGUUAAAAACUAUGCAAUACUAUACCAUUUAUCUGAUUAAAUUAAGCUAUUUUACAGUUGAACACAGGGUCCAAUCGAUAUAGUCAAGAUGUAGCCCCUAGCAAACCACUAGGGCUCCACAUGCCUAGCCAGUUUGUAGUACACUACUUCUGAGUCGAGGCCUGGGCCUUGGUCGUAGGUAAGGCAUCAGGCUUGCCCUAUAACAGCUAACAUGGCGUCAUGUGGGGAAGUAGCAGAGGCCCGGUGAAGGAGGUUGUUGUCUCUUGGCUAACCAGACAGAGCAGGUUUCCCAGGCAGUCAUCCAGACGUUUGUAUCCUUAUAGGGACAAACUGGUGAUAGGCAGAUAAGACCGUCUGGAUCAAUGGGACGAGAGGAGAUACGAUUGGAUCCAAGUCAUGCAAGAGAAAGGGGUGGAAUUUGGCCGAUGCUUACUCCAAGUCGGACCGUUUGAGUGAAUCCUCAUUGCGACCCACUGGGUUCAGUGUUUAGUCUGCCCCUUCAAGAUGCCAGGAUCCGUAGUCUAGGAUCCUAACGGGCUGGUAAUGCACCUGAAGAUGUUUGAAGAUAAGGGCCACAACCUUCUCCAUAGACAAACAAUAAGAUAAUGAGAAAUUCAGCACAAGAUCUUUGUCUGUCGGCCAUGAAAAAACAUUCAGGAUUACGCUCAGAUGGUUAGCUCAGACUUACUCAAAAAAGCACCUAAUGAUUUAUAACAUACAGCAGUGACUUAAAACUCAAACUAUUCGCUGAACCUUAGUUAUAUUAUGAAUUCAAAGAACCAACACAUAUUCAGUGACUUAUUUAUGAGAAGUUGUGUAAAUGAUAUUCUAUUUUUCUUUCCUUCUCGGUACAAUGUUUAUUAUUAUCAUUAUCAUCAUAGUUUCUUUGUAUCUUGUAUUGUGUGCACUGUAUGAAAAACCACCAUAGUUUUCACCUGUGUGACACAAUAAACUCUUCUAAAACAGUCAGGCUUGUAUGACUUAUUUCCAAUGGAAAACAACGCCCAACCCAUUACAAAGGUAACCAGCAAAUGAGAAAAAAAAAAUCUAGUUUUAUUAACAUUUGUAUUUUAAAG
ensembl:lncRNA